CCCAGAAUUGCCCAUAUUGUUACCCCUCAGACAUAUGGUCCACUGACCAACACGCCAAGCCUAUAGGCUGACAUCUGACUUGCCUAUUGUUUCUUUUAUCAGCAAUUUCCAGGUCAGAGAUGCAAGGGGUGAACAUGAUUUGGCCAAAAUGUCUCUAUCCACAACUAAAUAUCAGAAUGUUAGCAUUCCCAACAAGAAGGCUUGCAAAUGUAUAGCCUACACUAUUGGCUACAUGUCGCCAUUAUGAAAAGGAUUCCUCAACCCAAACCCGAUUUCAACAUCCCAGCUGUUCUGUCCCUUUGCAGAUAUCCACAUCGACAAUAUCUGUCUAUUGACGAAUAAACCGUUUUUCUGGUUUCGUCUUUCUUAAUGCACACCCAUCGAAUAACAUUUUCUAGACGUGCUGUAGAAUAUUAUGUAAAAAAUAGAAUAGGCCUACAUUCCAUUUAUUUACACUCAGGAUUUCGCGCGUAAAAGACUACAGAGUUCAGAAUCUAGUUCGUCUGGAGCACAUCUUGGUGUCCUUUGAUUGGUCAGAUUUGAAAUCAGUCAGAAAUUGGCCGCACCUCCACCCUCCCAUUCAACCACUGGUUUUAAUGUAACAGUGUGUUUACUACAGGACCAGAGCUCUGCGAAAAGCUGUCCAUCUAAACUGUGAAGUCUAAAUUAAACAGAUAACCUCUUAGUUUCACGUAAAGAAGAAAACAGUAAAGGAAUCCACCAUGCCUAAAAGAAAGGGAACCGAUGGAGAGGUUAAAGGAGAACCCCAGAGAAGAUCUGCCAGGUUAUCAGCGCAGAAACCAGUUCCUGCAAAACCAGAACCGAAACCUAAAAAGACACUGAAGAAAGAUAAAGAGGUGAACGACAAAAAAGAGGAGAAAAAGAAGGCAAAGGCUGAGGAGCCUAAAGAAGAGAACAAGUCGGAAAAUGGGGAGACCAAGACUAAUGAGGUGGAGAAGACCCCAGAGGCCGAGCCUGAACCGGAAAAGGAGGAAUCGAAGACCGAGUAGCACCACGCCAACCCAUUCAUCCAUCCAUCUGUCCAUCCGUCCAUUCAGGCCCCUACUUCAGCAGCCCCCAGUCUCACCUGGAUCCCUGUCCCUCUCCCCCAUUUUUUUCUUCACCUUCACCAGAGAAAUAUUUUUAUCAACAAUUUUGUAAAUACUGGUACAGGUUUUUAGCACAAAACAAAGCUAAAUGUGUUCAGCCUCAGUCAUAUCAGGUGUUUCCAUUGCCAGCAAAAGGAUGGUGUGAGUUCUUCUGGUGUUUCCUGGGGAGACCACCGUUGCCCCAGUGCAUUCAUUGCAUAUAUGAUCAAUGCAGUGUAAUGACAUGACAAAACUCUGGGCAGUCAGAACUUACGGAAACGAGAAGAAACGUGUCAUGAAUCUGCAACGGCAUACUUUUGUCUGAAUUGUUUUUAAUAUAUUGUUAGGUCCUUGUUUGGGAGUUUGUAGUGGGAGUUGGCUGGUGGCUUGGUGGUAGGUGAUGGUGUGUUCUUGGUUCACCAGCGCAGUCUGUGCCAGUUUAGUGGUUGUUUAUACUCUGGGGUCUGUGCAGUGUUGUUCUUAAUUUGGGGGUUUUAUUUUAAUUUCUUUACAAAUUAAUUGUCUAUGAGAAAGAGGAAUAAUCAAGCAUUCUUGACAGAUAACUGAAAACAUUCCAGGCACGGUUCAAAAGGUGGUCUCCUUCACAUUUGAGUAAUAAUGCAGCUGAAUUGAUUUGUUAAGACAGAUAAAGCUAACAGGACAAAUAAAUAAACAUAAAAAAAAGAUUGUGUGUAAUUA
rnacentral:lncRNA from 1 species